rnacentral:rRNA from 1 species
AGGACGAACGCUGGCGGCGUGCUUAACACAUGCAAGUCGAACGAGGCGCUUGCGCCUAGUGGCGAACGGGUGAGUAACACGUGAGCAACCUGCCCUUGGCUCUGGGAUAGCCUCCGGAAACGGGGAUUAAUACCGGACAUGACCUUCUCCUGCAUGGGGGAGGGUGGAAAGUUUUUCGGCCAGGGAGGGGCUCGCGGCCUAUCAGCGUUGUUGGGGGGGUAACGCCCACCAAGGCGACGACGGGUAG